CCUACGGGGGGCAGCAGUGGGGAAUAUUGCACAAUGGGGGGAACCCUGAUGCAGCGACGCCGCGUGGGUGAAGAAGUACUUCGGUAUGUAAAGCCCUAUCAGCAGGGAAGAAAAUGACGGUACCGGACUAAGAAGCCCCGGCUAACUACGUGCCAGGAGCCGCGGUAAUACGUAGGGGGCAAGCGUGAGCCGGAUUUACGGGGUGUAAAGGUAGCGUAGACGGCGUGCCAAGUCUGAUGUGAAAGGCCGGGGCUCAACCCCGGGACUGCAUUGGAAACUGGCAUGCUGGAGUGCAGGAGGGGCAAGCGGAAUUCCUAGUGUAGCGGUGAAAUGCGUAGAUAUUAGGAGGAACACCGGUGGCGAAGGCGGCUUGCUGGACGGUAACUGACGUUGAGGCUCGAAAGCGUGGGGAGCAAACAGGAUUAGAUACCCUAGUAGUC
rnacentral:rRNA from 1 species